rnacentral:rRNA from 1 species
AUUGAACGCUGGCGGCAGGCUUAACACAUGCAAGUCGAGCGGGGUGAUGGUGCUUGCACUAUCACUUAGCGUCGGACGGGUGAGUAAUGCUUAGGAAUCUGCCUAUUAGUGGGGGACAACAUCUCGAAAGGGAUGCUAAUACCGCAUACGUCCUACGGGUGAAAGCAGGGGAUCACUUGCGACCUUGCGCUAAUAGAUGAGCCUAAGUCGGAUUAGGUAGUUGGUGGGGUAAGGGCCUACCAAGGCGAUGAUCUGUAGCGGGUCUGAGAGGAAGUAACGCGACAUUGGGACUGAGACACGGCCCAGACUCUUACGAGAGGCAGCAGUGGGGAAUAUUGGGCAAUGGGGGGAAUCCUGAUCCAGCGUUGCCGGGUGUGUGAAGACAGCCUUAUGGUAGUAAAGCACUUUAAGCGAGGAGGAGGCUCUUUUGGUUAAUACCCAAGAUGAGUGGACGUUACUCGCAGAAUAAGCACCGGCUAACUCUGUGCCAGCCGCCGCCGUAA